rnacentral:tRNA from 1 species
CUUGCAUAGGUGAUCUGUUUCGAGGGUAAUCAACAAAGUGUAAGCCAUAUAAAACAUGAAAUAACUACUUUG